rnacentral:rRNA from 1 species
GAUGAACGCUGGCGGCAGGCCUAAUACAUGCAAGUCAAGGGGCCCCGCCUUUGGGCGGGGCACCGGCGGACGGGUGAGCGGCGCGUACACAACGUGCCCCUGACCGGGGGACAGCGGCGGGAAACUGCCGGUAACACCCCAUGGCGCCGCGGGGCGGCAUUGCCCCGGGGCGAAAGUUUCGGCGGUCGGGGAUCGGUGUGCGUCCGAUUAGGUAGUUGGCGGGGUGACGGCCCACCAAGCCUGCGAUCGGUAGGGGGUGGAGAGC